UGAGUCUUAUGACUCAUUAAUUUCCACACCUAUCUAGAAAAUUCAAGACUAACAAAACGAAAUUACAAGAGAAAGAAAGAAGAGAAGAGAAGAGAAAUUAAGGUAGAAAGAAGGAAAGAGCUACGAUUUUGGGAGGAGAAAAAGCCCAAAACGUUACCAAACAGCCAAUAAGUUUCAGCUGCGCUAAAGGAAAUUCCGAGGCAAGUUUUGGCGAGUUUUGGUGAAUUUCGGAAAAGGUUCAAGAGACGACGAGGCGA